GGGGUUGUGGCUCAGAGGUAGAGCAUUUGUCUCGCACACACGGGACCCUGGGUUCGAUUUUCAGCACCACG
rnacentral:tRNA from 1 species